rnacentral:rRNA from 1 species
UGGGGAAUCUUGCACAAUGGAGGCAACUCUGAUCCAGCAAUGCCGCGUGAGUGAUGAAGGCCUUAGGGUUGUAAAGCUCUUUUACCCGGGAUGAUAAUGACAGUACCGGGAGAAUAAGCUCCGGCUAACUCCGUGCCAGCAGCCGCGGUAAUGCGGAGGGAGCUAGCGUUGUUCGGAAUUACUGGGCGUAAAGCGUACGUAGGCGGUUAUUCAAGUCAGAGGUGAAAGCCCGGGGCUCAACCCCGGAACUGCCUUUGAAACUAGAUAGCUAGAAUCUUGGAGAGGUCAGUGGAAUUCCGAGUGUAGAGGUGAAAUUCGUAGAUAUUCGGAAGAACACCAGUGGCGAAGGCGACUGACUGGACAAGCAUUGACGCUGAGGUACGAAAGCGUGGGGAGCAAAC